rnacentral:rRNA from 1 species
GACGAACGCUGGCGGCGUGCCUAAUACAUGCAAGUAGAACGCUGAAGGAGGAGCUUGCUCUUCUGGAUGAGUUGCGACCGGGUGAGUAACCCGUAGGUAACCUGCCUGGUAGCGGGGGAUAACUAUUGGAAACGAUAGCUAAUACCGCAUAAGAGUAGAUGUUGCAUGACAUUUACUUAAAAGGUGCACUUGCAUCACUACUAGAUGGACCUGCGUUGUAUUAGCUAGAUGGUGGGGUAACGGCUUACCAAGGCGACGAUACAUAGCCGACCUGAGAGGGUGAUCUGAGACGCUGGGACGGGAGCACGGCCCAGAAUCCUGCGAGUGGCAGCAGGAGGGGAUCUUCGGGAAAGGAAGGAAGUCUGACCGUGGAACGACGCGUGAGUGAAUGAGGUUUUCGGGUCGUGAAGCUCAGUUGUAAGAGAAGAACGAGUGUGAGUGUCGAAAGUUCACACAAUGACGGUAUCUGACCAAAAAGGGCCGGCUAACUACGUG